rnacentral:tRNA from 1 species
ACUUUUAUAGGAUAGAAGUAAUCCGUUGGUCUUAGGAACCAAAAAAUUGGUGCAACUC